CUUUAGCCUCGAUGGGAGCGGCAUCUUUUCUGUCAGGCAGGUUCUACAAAACCUGCCUGACAGAAAAAUACAGCGGACAGCGGGAACAUGG
rnacentral:sRNA from 1 species